rnacentral:tRNA from 1 species
CAAAGAAUAGUUUAAUAAAAAUAAUAAUUUUGGAAAUUAUUGAUAAAGAGUUUCUUUUUCUUUGA